rnacentral:rRNA from 1 species
GAAGCAACGCGAAGAACCUUACCUAAGCUUGACAUCCUUUUGACCGAUGCCUAAUCGCAUCUUUCCCUUCGGGGACAGAAGUGACAGGUGGUGCAUGGUUGUCGUCAGCUCGUGUCGUGAGAUGUUGGGUUAAGUCCCGCAACGAGCGCAACCCUUGCCUUUAGUUGCCAGCAUUAAGUUGGGCACUCUAGAGGGACUGCCAGGGAUAACCUGGAGGAAGGUGGGGAUGACGUCAAAUCAUCAUGCCCCUUAUGCUUAGGGCUACACACGUGCUACAAUGGGUGGUACAGAGGGCAGCCAAGUCGUGAGGCCAAGCUAAUCCCUUAAAGCCAUUCUCAGUUCGGAUUGUAGGCUGAAACUCGCCUACAUGAAGCUGGAGUUACUAGUAAUCGCAGAUCAGAAUGCUGCGGUGAAUGCGUUCCCGGGUCUUGUACACACCGCCCGUCACACCAUGGGAGUUGGGGGCGCCCGAAGCCGGUUAGCUAACCUUUUGGAAGCGGCCGUCGAAGGUGAAACCA